rnacentral:rRNA from 1 species
AGCGAACGCUGGCGGCAGGCCUAACACAUGCAAGUCGAACGAACCCUUCGGGGUUAGUGGCGGACGGGUGAGUGACACGUGGGAACGUGCCUUUAGGUUCGGAAUAACUCAGGGAAACUUGUGCUAAUACCGAAUGUGCCCUUCGGGGGAAAGAUUUAUCGCCUUUAGAGCGGCCCGCGUCUGAUUAGCUAGUUGGUGAGGUAAUAGCUCACCAAGGCUACGAUCAGUAGCUGGUCUGAGAGGAUGACCAGCCACAUUGGGACUGAGACACGGCCAAAACUCCUACGGGAGGCAGCAGUGGGGAAUCUUGCGCAAUGGGCGAAAGCCUGACGCAGCCAUGCCGCGUGGAUGAUGAAGGUCUUAGGAUUGUAAAAUCCUUUCACCGGUGAAGAUAAUGACUGUAGCCGGAGAAGAAGCCCCGGCUAACUUCGUGCCAGCCGCCGCCGUAACAC